ensembl:lncRNA
AUGGGCGGAGGCAGAGCGCUGGUGGCACAACAGAUACCAGUGCCCAAGGGAGCUCUCGCGCACAGCCCACAGAUACCUAUAAGCGGUACCAUUGGCACCGCAACAAUGCGGGGAACAGGCCGGCCCCUCAGCCAUCCAGCGACAGGGGGCCUGGGCCUUCCCAGUGGUGCAAAGGCAGCGUGGGGAGAAGGCAGGAGUGUCAGGCAGACAGCCGUGUGGAGCACAGGCAUGCCUAUAGUCCACAACAGAGUGCGGGACCUAGCCAUGGCCGUAACACAGACGGCAGCGUCAGACCCAUGCGUGGAAAUCAAACACACAGUGGCAUGGGACCUAGGCAUGAAAGUGGACAACACUCUGGUUCAGCACCCCGGCCUCAAAACUUCCCGGAUAGAAGGCAUCCCAUGCGGCCAGUCGCAAGCAAGGAUGGGCUUGGUCAUCAGCCACUCUGAGCCGUGCACAGGCCUUCCCGGCAUCCAUACAGCGACUGCAGGCCUCGGCCCUACCAUUGGCGGAACAGCGGCGUGGGGCGAAGGCAGCAGGAUCAGGCAGACAGCCGCCGGGAGCACAGGCGUGCCUAUCAUCCGUACCACAACGCGGGACCCAGCCAGGGCCAUAAACCAGAUGGCAACAUCGGACCCACACACGGAAAUCAACCUGACAGUGGACGUAGGCAUGGAACUGGACGACCCCGUGGUUCGGCACCCUGGCCUGGAAACCUUACUGACGGAAGGCAUCCCAUUUGGGCAGUCCCGGGCAAGGACUGGCUUAGCCUUCUGCCCAACACCGAGGAGCCCAUGGAGGUGGAUCCUCCACAAGACAUGGAGGAACCGGUGGAAGUGGAUCCACCUCAGCCAGAACAGACCUGGGACUACCGCGGUGCGUCUUUGCUCUCUGCUAUCCGAGCACAAAAACAGCGUUGCAGGAGUGCCCGGCCAGCCCCCUACUCGUCGUCACGCAGGCUCCAUCCCAAGCACUAGCUUGGAGCCCCCAAACACCAUAGACAUCCUGCAGGCUUACCUGCAAGACGUCCUGGCAAUAAACCACUCUGUUGCUGAUUCUCAGGGCUUGCGUGAGUGCUUCUUUCCCAUCCCCCAGCCCUUGUGCCAGAGGUGGCAUCCCUUCUGCACAGAGCCUCGAGGAAGAGCACAAGAGAGGACCCAGCUUCCUUCAGGCUGCUGCGCUGGGGUGACAGGAGGAGUCCGCGAGGGCCACCAUGCACCUCUGACAUUUGUGCAAAUAGUAGACUGA